rnacentral:rRNA from 1 species
AAAGUCUGAUGGAGCAACGCCGCGUGAGUGAAGAAGGGUUUCGGCUCGUAAAACUCUGUUGUUGAAGAAGAACAUAUCUGAGAGUAACUGUUCAGGUAUUGACGGUAUUUAACCAGAAAGCCACGGCUAACUACGUGCCAGCAGCCGCGGUAAUACGUAGGUGGCAAGCGUUGUCCGGAUUUAUUGGGCGUAAAGCGAGCGCAGGCGGUUUUUUAAGUCUGAUGUGAAAGCCUUCGGCUCAACCGAAGAAGUGCAUCGGAAACUGGGAAACUUGAGUGCAGAAGAGGACAGUGGAACUCCAUGUGUAGCGGUGAAAUGCGUAGAUAUAUGGAAGAACACCAGUGGCGAAGGCGGCUGUCUGGUCUGUAACUGACGCUGAGGCUCGAAAGUAUGGGUAGCAAACAGGAUUAGAUACCCUUAGUAGUCAA